rnacentral:rRNA from 1 species
UUGGAGGGCAAGUCUGGUGCCAGCAGCCGCGGUAAUUCCAGCUCCAAUAGCGUAUAUUAAAGUUGUUGCAGUUAAAAAGCUCGUAGUUGAAUUUCGGGAUCAAUUUAUUGGUCGUGCUAGUGUACGUACUGGUAUUAUUGAUUCCUACCUUCUGACGAACCAUGAUGUCAUUAAUUUGGUGUCAUGGGGAAUCAGGACUGUUACUUUGAAAAAAUUAGAGUGUUUAAAGCAGGCUCACGCUUGAAUACAUUAGCAUGGAAUAAUGAAAUAGGACGUUUGAUUCUAUUUUGUUGGUUUUUAGGAUCAACGUAAUGAUUAAUAGGGAUAGUUGGGGCAUUAGUAUUCAAUUGUCAGAGGUGAAAUUCUUGGAUUUAUUGAAGACUAACUACUGCGAAAGCAUUUGCCAAGGAUGUUUUCAUUAAUCAAGAACGAAAGUUAGGGGAUCGAAGACGAUCAGAUACCGUCGUAGUCUUAACCAUAAACUAUGCCGACUAGGAAUCGGAUGAUGUUUAAUUUUUAAUGUACU